rnacentral:piRNA from 1 species
UACCUCACAUUUGUGUAUCUGGUAGCAUC